UUCUGCUCUAGCAGGAAAUCACAUCUACCCAGAACAAGCCGGCAAGAGCUGAGUCCAGGCAGGAGCAACCCUGGGCACUGCUUGGAAACGCUUUCUAAGCACUCCAGUGUUAAAGGAGGUGUUAAAUGAUUGCUUAUACUAAACAUUUACUGAAAAAUAAUCACCUACUGCUAGCUGACAUCCAUCUAAAGUAGAGAAGAUUCCCAAGGCUUGCCAGCUUAUUAUCUGAAAACUGCCGCUGGAGAUGGUCCUAGUCCCAUGUCCCUGGAAGCCACAGCUGCAACAAAUACACAGCAGCAUAAAAAAGAACUGCCUGGACUAGGAAGUUUUUGGAAAGCUAGAUGUUACAAGAGAUGCAGCACUGACAGACGCACUGCUCUUCUGGUGCAGAAGACAGAGACCCUGGGAGGGCUUUUGGGGCCCUUCACUCCUCCAUCAGCGAGUCGUCUGCCUUAUCACAAGGUGUCGGUGAGCUCACAGUACUGUAGCUGUGUAACGCUUUUAUUUUUGUGCUUGUGUUGGGAAAAUAGCAACAGCAGCAUCAGCCAAAUGAUAAUA
rnacentral:lncRNA from 1 species